GUUGAAUCACCGGUUCCCGUACGAAGUUAAGCAAUGUCGAGCCUGGUCAGUACCUAGACGAGUGACCGUUUGGAAAUACCAGGUGCUGUAA